AGAAGGAGCAAUGGCGGCCGUCGGAAGCGAACUGGGAGAAGGGCUGUACAGCACGGACUCGCCGAAAGCCGCAGUAGCGGCUCUGGAAAAACUCUGGAAGGGCAGCCCUUCUGAAACAACAACAAAGAAUGUACCCACUCCAGAGACAAGGGCAGAAAUAUACCUGUGUGUCCAGCUACAAAUAAAGGUAUCAAGUUACUGGAUUAAACUACAGCGUUUUCCAAAACAAAGGCUUGAGGCUCCAAUAUUGUACUACUAAUCCUACCAGAGACUUUCAUUUGGAUUUGAGUAAAGCAGGGUCAUAUUUCUAACUCAAAGAAAUAUUUUGCAGAAGGAGAAAUGUUUGAACAGACAAAGCUACCAGCUUAAUUCCACACUUCCUCACAGCAUUUAACUUUCACAGAUUUAAUAGCACUUCAUACAGUGCUUAUUACAGACUUGAGGAGAUCAAUUCUCCUUACACUGGUAUUGAAACUCAGUAAAGUGGCAGCUGUCACUAACAGUGAAAUAAUUAAUCAUUGUAAAAAACAAAGGUCCUGUGAACUUAUGAGAGAGCCUCCAUGGAGAACAUUUGCCAUUUCCAACAUGUUUGCUGCCAUAUUCAUUCAAAAGAGUGCUCAAACGAUCUGUCUCCUGGGUUCAGGAGGAGAAGGAGAAAAGUUGUUUACCAAGGUAUAGUCCACAAAUAUUUCCAGUUGGCAGUGCAGCAUUUCAGAAAACCUCAACUACCUUAUUAGUCAGCAUUUCACAGCAUUUCUGAGACAGGUCUCUCUGUAAAAGCUCCCAGUCCAGCAGCAAAUCAUGAAUGGCUUCAACAGGCGCUGAUGUCAGAAACUCGCUCUCCACCCCACUUCCUUUGAUACUAUCGCCACUUGAGCUCAACAGCAAACUGAUGCGACUCAACCUUCAGCAGCUGCUGCUUCUUCGUCAUUUUCUUUAUGCCUAAUACAUGCACAUCAUUUAAAGGGGAGGGGGAGUGGUGGAAAGAGAGCAAUGAAUCUGAGAAGCUGGCUUGAGAAACGUUCUGCUGUAGGGGUGUUAAAGAGCACAGAAGAUUAAAGCACAGCCAUUUUUACAUCCUCCCCCUCCUUACACAAAGAAGGUCAGGGACAGACUGACCACAUCAACAGCAGCAACAAAUUCCUUCAUCUUCCACUUCCUCCAUAUAGGCAUCUUUAUGGUUGCAAACAUUUUGAAAGCGACCCUCAUUAUUUUCCCAAAAAUGUGGAUACAAGCAACUAUGGAUGUCUUUUACAAUGUGAUAUGCUGAAGAAACAAAUCCUAAUGAAAGAAGUCUGCUCUAUUCAAAAUGUUUCAUCUCCUUGAUUGCAAAUCUUGACAGAAGGCUAAUCCAGGGAAAGGGGGGGGGGAUAACAAUGAACACCAUGCAAUAAGAACUACAUUGCUAAGGAAGAUGAAUCUGGUCACUGCAGGCCCCAUACAAUCUUGCAAGAACAAACCACAUACUUCAAAUAUCAAAUUGAGCACGUUGGUACUCCAACAUGCUUUCUUCUGACAGAUACUUUUUAGAAGGAAAAUAUGGGUGCAUUCGAAACUUCCUUGAGAUUUAAUAUUUUCAAACACUGUUCCAAUGCCCACGUUAAUUUCCCCCCCUUCCUCUGUUCCCUCCUGCCCGCCCCCAAAUCUGUUCCAGAGGGUUGAGAGGGUGCUCUGGAGCAGAUUUGGGGAGUGUGUGAGGGAGGCAGAAAAGAAGGGGAAGUCAGUUCACGCAAUGUUUAAUGUUGCAUGCAGUGUACAAGUGUUUGUGGAACAAUGUUAGUGGCCAUUCUCUUUCCACCCACAGAAAGAAGCCUAUGUUACUAAAUGCCCCAGGAGUAACAACCCAGAGUGAGAGCUAGCUUUAUCCUACAUAUAUGCCAUUUAUUAUCUUUCUUUCAUAAUUCCAAGUAACAUUUAUUUUUAUAUUAAAGUUGCUGAAAUACACACACCUCUCUCUCCAUUAAAACACACGAUUACCCAAUAGAAUCAGAUAAACACACAGUUCCACAGAACUUAUAGUCUUGUUUGGAUACAGUACUAUGGAUUGGAACUGAUUCUUCUCCUGCCCAAGUUGUGAGUCUAAAUGAAUGCUCAAAGUAUUUGUAUUGGCCCGUGGGCAAGUUCAGCAGCUAUAUUAGCAGAGUAGCUGCCUGUAGGCAAGGGGGGCCUUGUAUUCCCCCCCGCCUUAGUUCCAGGCUAUUUGACAGAUCGUAUCUCCCUACAUGAACCUGUCCGGGAUUUGAGAUCUUCAGGUGAGGCCCUUCUUGUGCUCCCCACACCUUUGCAAGUACAUAUGACGCAGACAUGAGAUAGGGCCUUUUCGGUGGCUGCCCCUAGGCUAUGGAACUCCCUUCUGAGUGAGGUGCAAUUAGCUCCCUCCUUGCCGUCUUUCCGGCGACAGGUAAAGACUGUUUUAUUUCAACGGGCAUUUGGGAUAGAGAACGAACAAGAUUAAAUGUCAUAGGAU